GGGUGGUCUGAGUACAGUGGUGUUUACAACUGAUUGAUCACAACCCAUUACAGAUUUCUUUGUGGCUUCUCCACUCCCACUGCUUCGCCUGACUAGCAUUUU
rnacentral:Y_RNA from 1 species